UCCACCCUGCAAUGUACGUGUAGGCAUGUAUUAUUUGAACCAACACCUAUUUGAAGGGAGCCUGACCUUUGUACGGUGUGUAAGCUUCACCAUGUGAAGCUUCCUAAUGUUCAAGGAGUGGCGCCCACCUGGUCUCCAGGUCCAAAUAAGGUGUCUCACGGCAGAGCGGGGUUUUU
rnacentral:other from 1 species